GACGAACGCUGGCGGCGUGCUUAACACAUGCAAGUCGAACGAAAAGAGGGAAGGAGCUUGCUCUUUCCGGAAUUGAGUGGCAAACGGGUGAGUAACACGUAAACAACCUGCCUUCAGGAUGGGGACAACAGACGGAAACGACUGCUAAUACCGAAUAAGUUCCAAGGGCCGCAUGGCCCAUGGAAGAAAAGGUGGCCUCUACCUGUAAGCUAUCGCCUGAAGAGGGGUUUGCGUCUGAUUAGCUGGUUGGAGGGGUAACGGCCCACCAAGGCGACGAUCAGUAGCCGGUCUGAGAGGAUGAACGGCCACACUGGAACUGAGACACGGUCCAGACUCCUACGGGAGGCAGCAGUGGGGAAUCUUCCGCAAUGGGCGAAAGCCUGACGGAGCAACGCCGCGUGAGUGAUGACGGCCUUCGGGUUGUAAAACUCUGUGAUCCGGGACGAAAAGGCAGAGUGCGAAGAACAAACUGCAUUGACGGUACCGGAAAAGCAAGCCACGGCUAACUACGUG
rnacentral:rRNA from 1 species